UGAGGGAGAGUUGCUCUGUGUAUACCUCGCCAUAUCUAAAUACUCCAUUAGCUUGGUGUUUUGAUGGUAAUAGAUGGAGAGCAACUCCCGAUUUAUUUUGUAUGUAAAACAUUUAUAGAUUUUCAAACAAGGUAUUUACCACUGGAGAAACUAAUGCUGGCCCCAAUCUUACAACUCGAAAGUUUAUGCACUACUUUCAAGCACACCUAAUUGCAGUAUAGUAUAUAUAGAUUUUUUGCUAAGAAAUAUUGCUAAUAAAAGCAGACUAGUCUUGGCGACUGUCCAUAUGGGCUGUCAAGCUUGGACAGUUUGGCAUCAAAUUCCUUCCCAUAGUAGCAAUCAAGAGCCAUAUCUUGUCUAAUUUUGUUGCGGAGGUCUCAUCUCGAACUGUUAAUCUAGAACCAAGUUACCCCGAGUCUGCACAUAGGAAGGGAGAA
rnacentral:lncRNA from 1 species